CUCUAUUUAUAGACAAGACAUUCAUCCAAUAUUCAUUCACAAUGAAUAUUAUUAAGGUGAUGCUGGUGGGUCUCCUGCCCAUGGCUCUGAUUUUCCUGACUCUGUGGAACAGGAAGAAGAAAACUCAGAGCUUGAACACUGGACUGAAUCCUCCUGAGAAUAUGGUGUUACAGUCUUAUCCUGACUACGUCAAUGUGUCGGCGUUGAAAUCAGUCACUGCAGCAAAGAGAGAAGAUUCUCAGGAGCAAGAAAGCGUGAUGUGA